AACGGGGUGCCUAUGAUUGAGACUUCGGUUGAUUGAUUAGGUUACCUAGUGGCGGACUGGUGCGUAACACGUGAGUAACCUGCCUCGGAGUGUGGAAUAACACAGCGAAAGUUGUGCUAAUACCGCAUAAUGUAGUUGUACCGCAUGGUGCUGACUACCAAAGAUUUAUUGCUCUGAGAUGGACUCGCGGCCGAUUAGCUAGUUGGUGAGGGUUAAACGGGCCCACCAAGGCGACGAUCAGUAGCCGGCCUGAGAGGGUGAACGGCCACAUUGGGACUGAGACACGGCCCAAACUCCUACGGGAGGCAGCAGCGGGGAAUAUUGCACAAUGGGGGAAACCCUGAUGCAGCGACGCCGCGUGAGUGAAGAAGUAUUUCGGUAUGUAAAGCUCUAUCAGCAGGGAAGAAAGUGACGGUACCUGACUAAGAAGCCCCGGCUAACUACGUG
rnacentral:rRNA from 1 species